UUCAAACAUUGUGGUGGUCGGAUGUACUCGCUCCAACACAGUGACACUCCAUGUACAAGUCUCUGUCGAGGCAGCCAGACAUUCCCCUACGGAAUGAGCUCAGCUUGUUAUCUCCGAUAUCAGGAAAGUAAGGUAGACUGAAUCUACUGCAAGGCAUCAUGGACCGGUUUCAUACAUAUGCAUCUCUGGUUGGCUGGCAUAAACAUGAUCCUGUGAGCUAGUGUUA